GGGCGGAUGUGUUUAGCGGCGAGAAACAGAAACGAAGUUCGAGUUCAAAAUAUAAUUUAAAUAAAAAAAAAUAAAUAAUUUCGAAUUAAAAGAUUAUCCCAAAAAGUGAACGCUUUGUUUUGUGCUCAGUUUUGAGUUGAAAUCAAUUCGAUUGCGGAAAUGAUCGCGAAGAUGGAUAUGCCAGCGAGCAAUUAGUGCAGUUUCUCGUCCCCCCCCAGACACAAAAGACAAACACACAGUAGAAACAAAAGGAUCGCUGUAAUAAAUUAUAAACAACGAGAGUACAUCCACAGCUGAUACAAAAACAAAAUAACGCCCACAAGCGGAAUAAGCAGACGCAACAGAAGCAACAGCCGCAAAAAUAACAACGACGACGACAGCUCUCGAGAGAGAUAAUUAAUUAAUUUUUUGAUAUAAAGUUCAAAGUGCGCCCUCCCAACUCGAGUGCAAGUGGAACUACAUGACAAUUAGACAUCCAGCAGCGGCAUCCAAGGGAAUUAUAAAAAGCAACCUAACAAACACCAACACCAACAGCAACAAAAUGACAAACUGCCAAAGUUCAGUGUUCAUAGUCGUAGGCACCCUGUUCUCCAUUCUGGUGGCAGCGCAAUCGGCACCUGUUUCCACCACAACACAGGCUGAGAUCUACCUGUCCCAGUUCGGCUAUCUACCCGCCUCGGCUCGCAAUCCGGCCAGCAGUGGCCUCCACGACCAGCAGACCUGGGUGAGCGCCAUCCAGGAGUUCCAGAACUUCGCUGGACUGAACAUCACAGGCGAACUGGAUGAGGAGACCAUGAAACUGAUGUCCCUGCCCCGGUGCGGUGUAAGGGAUCGUGUGGGCAAUGGCGAAGGUCGCUCCAAGCGGUACGCCCUCCAGGGCAGUCGCUGGCGCGUCAAAAACCUCACCUACAAGAUCUCGAAGUACCCGAAGCGAUUGAAGCGCGUCGAUGUGGAUGCUGAGAUCGCCCGCGCCUUCGCUGUCUGGUCUGAGGACACCGAUCUAACCUUCACCAGGAAGACCUCCGGCCCCGUUCACAUCGAAAUCAAGUUCGUGGAGAGCGAGCACGGUGAUGGCGACGCCUUUGACGGACAGGGCGGCACUCUGGCUCACGCCUUCUUCCCAGUCUUCGGAGGAGAUGCCCAUUUCGACGACGCCGAGCUCUGGACCAUUGGAUCGCCCCGUGGUACCAAUCUCUUCCAGGUGGCGGCUCAUGAAUUCGGGCACUCCUUGGGACUGUCCCACUCCGAUCAGAGUUCCGCACUGAUGGCCCCCUUCUAUCGCGGUUUCGAGCCCGUUUUCAAGCUAGACGAGGACGACAAGGCAGCUAUCCAGUCCCUGUACGGACGGAAGACCAACCAGCUGAAGCCCACGAACUUCUAUCCACCCACCACCCUGCGUCCGGCAUUCACACCGCCCAAGGUUCCGCUGGACGACUCCAUCUGCAAGGACUCCAAGGUGGACACGCUCUUCAACUCAGCUCAGGGUGAUACCUACGCCUUCAAGGGCGACAAGUACUACAAGCUGACCACAGACUCCGUCGAGGAGGGCUAUCCCCAGGCCAUCUCCAAGGGCUGGCCGGGACUGCCAGGCAACAUCGAUGCAGCCUUCACGUACAAGAACGGCAAGACGUACUUCUUCAAGGGCACCCAGUACUGGAGGUAUCAGGGACGUCAGAUGGACGGCGCUUACCCGAAGGAGAUCAGCGAGGGAUUCACCGGCAUUCCGGAUCACCUGGACGCGGCUAUGGUUUGGGGAGGCAACGGCAAGAUCUACUUCUUCAAGGGCAGCAAGUUCUGGCGCUUCGACCCGGCCAAGAGGCCACCGGUUAAGGCCAGCUACCCCAAGCCCAUUUCCAACUGGGAGGGAGUACCCAAUAAUCUGGAUGCUGCGCUCAAGUAUACGAAUGGAUAUACCUACUUCUUCAAGGGCGACAAAUACUACCGAUUCCACGAUGCCCGAUUUGCGGUGGAUACGGCCUCGCCUCCAUUCCCCAGACCCACCGCCCACUGGUGGUUCGGCUGCAAGAACACGCCAUCGUCCACAGUACCGCCAGUAGUACCGAAUCAGGGCAUUCUGCCCGGCUGGAUGUGGGGCCUAACGAACAGAUUCUUCUAGAAUCUGGAGGAUCUCGAUCAGCCGAUCCACCGAUCAUCCAAUCAGGAUGCUGUGUAGCCUGUCCCGUUAUUAAUUGCCAGCAUUAAGCUAUACCAGUACUUGUGCAUCAUAUCCAUCGCCCGCUUGAGUGAUCUCUGUCCGAAUAAACUAUAUAUAUCAGCCAUCAAAACAAAUUGAAACAUAAACCAUGCCACGCCCAAGAUCUGCGCCGCUGCCGAAACGCCAAAACCAAGCCAAAAUACAAAGAAACGAACUCACACAGAGUGAAGACCGUUGGCGAUCAUCAGUCGAACGACGAGCCACUGGAACCGGAAACGGCCGAGCGAACAGGAAACGGAGCCAACUCGCUGACCAAAGUAACGA
rnacentral:misc_RNA from 1 species